rnacentral:rRNA from 1 species
UACAGAGGUCUCAAGCGUUGUUUCGGAUUCAUUGGGCGUAAAGGGUGCGUAGGCGGCGCGGUAAGUCGGGUGUGAAAUCUCGGAGCUUAACUCCGAAACUGCAUUCGAUACUGCCGUGCUUGAGGACUGGAGAGGAGACUGGAAUUUACGGUGUAGCGGUGAAAUGCGUAGAUAUCGUAAGGAAGACCAGUGGCGAAGGCGGGUCUCUGGACAGUUCCUGACGCUGAGGCACGAAGGUCAGGGGAGCAAACGGGG